rnacentral:rRNA from 1 species
GAUGAACGCUGGCGGCGUGCCUAAUACAUGCAAGUCGAGCGAACGGACGAGAAGCUUGCUUCUCUGAUGUUAGCGGCGGACGGGUGAGUAACACGUGGAUAACCUACCUAUAAGACUGGGAUAACUUCGGGAAACCGGCGCUAAUACCGGAUAAUAUUUUGAACCGCAUGGUUCAAAAGUGAAAGACGGUCUUGCUGUCACUUAUAGAUGGAUCCGCGCUGCAUUAGCUAGUUGGUAAGGUAACGGCUUACCAAGGCAACGAUGCAUAGCCGACCUGAGAGGGUGAUCGGCCCAACCAGACCUGAGACACGGUCCAGACUCCUACGGGAGGCAGCAGUAGGGAAUCUUCCGCAAUGGGCGAAAGCCUGACGGAGCAACGCCGCGUGAGGGAUGAAGGUCUUCGGAUCGUAAAACUCUGUUAUUAGGGAAGAACAUAUGUGUAAGUAACUGUGCACAUCUUGACGGGACCUAAUCAGAAAGCCACGGCUAACUACGUG